AAAUCAAUAAAUAAAACAAAUGAAAAAUAGCAGCAUUGCAUUUCUUUGCACAGAGAAAGGUGAGAGGAGGAGAGUGGCAUUAUCCCUCCUAGGCAGAGUGCCUGUGCGUGAGGGCGCCCAUAAAGCCCUGUGCUGCCUCUUUAAACGAAGGAUUUUCGAUCAUGACAACGAUAGCAAUUGAUAUACCUUCAAAAUACGUGUCCAGUGAGUGUUGAUUGUGUGUGGUUUCUCUAGGAGACCGUGUUCAUGCAACACAGCAUUAUUUCACCGCCUUUACCCCAGCUUCUUCAUACACAUGCACUUGUCAAGGGCUCUUUGGCUGAAGAGAAGUUAGAAGUUUCCAGAUAUGGAGGGGUAUUUUCAGCAGAUAUGCCCACCGCCAUGGUUUUGUCAGCUCUGUAGGGUGGUCUUGCACCCUGCUCACUGCUGGCAUCACCUGAGCCUAUGGCAGAUACCCAGUGCUGCCCGCCACCAUGUGAAUUCAUCAGCUCUGCAGGCACAGACCUUGCACUAGGAAUGGGCUGGGACGCCACCCUCUGCCUCUUACCAUUCACUGGGUUUGGCAAGUGUGCUGGGAUCUGGAAUCACAUGGAUGAGGAACCCGAUAAUGGUGACGACCGAGGUAGCAGGCGAACCACUGGCCAGGGCAGGAAGUGGGCAGCUCACGGGACUAUGGCUGCACCGCGGGUUCAUACCGACUACCAUCCUGGAGGUGGGAGCGCAUGCUCAUCUGUAAAAGUCCGGUCCCACGUUGGACACACCGGGGUCUUCUUCUUUGUUGACCAGGAUCCUCUGGCAGUGUCUUUAACAAGCCAGAGUCUGAUCCCACCGCUCAUAAAGCCAGGGUUGUUGAAAGCUUGGGGCUUCCUCCUCCUCUGUGCGCAGCCCUCAGCAAACGGUCACAGCCUGUGCUGUCUGCUGUACACCGACUUGGUAUCAUCCCAUGAACUGUCCCCCUUUCGUGCUCUGUGCUUAGGGCCCUCUGAUGCCCCAUCUGCCUGUGCUUCCUGCAACUGUUUAGCAAGCACCUAUUAUCUAUAGGGUGCUGGGGUGCUGGGCGAGGCCAAUCGCUCCUAUUACUUUCUGCCCUGGGGACGUCCUGUUUUCCCACCUACCCCUGUAACGCCUCUGCUCUGCCUUCCCAUCUGCGGGGCUAACGCCAUCCCACAAGGGCUGGGCUGUCCGUUCAGAAGAGAAACUGGGAAGGGGCCUUGAGGACCUGUGUCCAGGCAGGGUGGACAAGGGCUUUGUGCAGGGAGCUCCUCUCCCAUCUUUGUGUCCUGACAGCCGUGACCGUGACCCCUCAAAGCAGAGCCAGUAGUGAUCAGUAUCCUGCUGCUUCAAGCCUGCACGGUCCUCUUCUCCUCUCCGCACAUCUGCAUGCCUGUCAAACCCAGAAUAGUUUGGGGCCUGGUAAACAGAGGGAAGUUGGCUGGAGGAGGCCAGUCAGGAGUGCAAGAACCCCGCGUACUCUGUCCCACGUGGAUAAAGUCUCUAAUUCCAGUCUGAGGUGAAUUCUUAGAGAGUGCUUUCAUUUAAUGUUUGCUUUAUGCAUUUCCCCUGCAGCUGUGACUAAUUGUGGAACAGCAUACAUUUUGUUUUGAGACUCUCUUGAGAUUUUUCUGGCAGUGUAAGGUCUACACCAUUUUCCUCUCAGCAUCAGAGAAGGCAGAAAGCAAGAGAAAGGAAUGCAAUGUGAGCAAGGCCAGGCACACUUGUGCUACUGCAGUUGGCAAGAAUGGAGUCUAAUCCCAGCACUUUGGGAGGCCGAGGCGGGUGGAUCACCUGAGGUCAGGAAUUUGAGACCAACCUGGCCAACAUGUUGAAACCUCGUCUGUACUAAAAAUACAAAAAAAAAAAAAAAAAAAA
rnacentral:lncRNA from 1 species